rnacentral:rRNA from 1 species
UACGUAGGGUGCAAGCAUUAAUCGGAUUUAUUGGGCGUAAAGGGCGCGUAGGCGGAAGGGUCAGUCAGCUGUGAAAUCCCCCAGCUCAACUGGGGAAGUGCAGAUGAUACUGCCCAUCUAGAGGGUAGGCGGAGAUAGCGGAAUUCCACGUGUAGCGGUGAAAUGCGUAGAUAUGUGGAAGAACACCGGUGGCGAAAGCGGCUAUCUAGCUUACAACUGACGCUGAGGCGCGAAAGCAAGGGGAGCAAACAGG